rnacentral:tRNA from 3 species
GUAGUCGUGGCCGAGUGGUUAAGGCGAUGGACUUGAAAUCCAUUGGGGUCUUCCCGCGCAGGUUCGAAUCCUGCCGACUACG